rnacentral:misc_RNA from 1 species
CGGAAUUCGGGGGCAUAGCG